CCUACGGGGGGCAGCAGUGGGGAAUCUUCCGCAAUGGGCGCAAGCCUGACGGAGCAAUGCCGCGUGAACGAAGAAGGUCUUCGGAUUGUAAAGUUCUGUCCUUAUCGAAGAGAGGGUAUAGAGUGAAAAAUGAUAUACUAGGACGGUAGAUGAGGAGGAAGCCCCGGCUAACUACGUGCCAGCAGCCGCGGUAAUACGUAGGGGGCGAGCGUUGUCCGGAAUCACUGGGCGUAAAGGGCGCGUAGGCGGUAAUAUAAGUCAGAUGUGAAAGGUGGGGGCUCAACCCCUAGAGUGCAACUGAUACU
rnacentral:rRNA from 1 species